AGGCUUACACAUGCAAGUCGAGGGGUAACAGAUCUUCGGAUGCUGACGACCGGCGAACGGGUGAGUAACACGUAUGCAACUUACCCAUAACUCGGGAAUAGCCCAAAGAAAUUUGGAUUAAUACCCAAUAAUACAGGCGUACCGCAUGGUAUUCUUCGUUAAAGAAUAAUCGGUUAUGGAUAGGCAUGCGUUCUAUUAGGUAGUUGGUGAGGUAACGGCUCACCAAGCCGACGAUGGAUAGGGGAACUGAGAGGUUGUCCCCCCACACUGGUACUGAGACACGGACCAGACUCCUACGGGAGGCAGCAGUGAGGAAUAUUGGUCAAUGGACGAAAGUCUGAACCAGCCAAAUCGCGUGAAGGAAGAAGGUAUUAUGUAUCGUAAACUUCUUUUGUAAGAGAGUAAAGUGCACUACGUGUAGUGUAUUGCAAGUACCUUACGAAUAAGCAUCGGCUAAUUCCGUGCCAGCAGCCGCAGUAAUACGGAAGAUGCAAGUGUUAUCCGGAUUUAUUGGGUUUAAAGGGUGCGUAGGUGGUCUAAUAAGUCAGUGGUGAAAUCUCUUUGCUUAACAAGGAAAUUGCCAUUGAAACUGUUAGACUUGAGAAUGGACGAGGUAGGCGGAAUUCGUAGUGUAGCGGUGAAAUGCAUAGAUAUUACGAAGAACUCCAAUAGUGUAGACUGCUUACCAGACCAUAUCUGACACUAAGGCACGAAAGUGUGGGUAUCAAGCAGGAUUAGAUACCCUGGUAGUCCACACAGUAAACGAUGAAUACUAACUGUUUGCGAUAUACAGCAAGUGGUCGAGCGAAAGCGUUAAGUAUUCCACCUGGGAAGUAUGCCGGCACGGUGAAACUCAAAGGAAUUGACGGGGGCCCGCACAAGCGGAGGAACAUGUGGUUUAAUUCGAUAAUACGCGAGGAACCUUACCCGGGCUCGAACGAUAUUUGAUACAUCCGAAAAGAUGUAGCUAGCAUAGCA
rnacentral:rRNA from 1 species